rnacentral:lncRNA from 1 species
UUUCCUCAAUCUUCACAUCCAUAUUCAAUAGAAUACAUCUAAUUGAACCUCUGGAUGUGACCAACCAGAUUGCCUCCCUCCUUUUCUUAUGAAUGUAAUCUCUGUAUGCCUUUGGGCCAAAGAUGAUUAUAAUUUUUUAAUAAAAAAAAUUUUGUGAUAUCAAUAUGAAUGGUAUUAUAAUUAUAUGGGGAUAAUUAAAAAAAUGAUCACAGCCUAUUAAUAUAAUGCACAUAUC